rnacentral:rRNA from 1 species
GGGUCAGUAGGUUGGUCGUGCCACCGGUACGUACUGGUCUCACUGAUUCCUCCUUCCUGAAGAACCGUAAUGCCAUUAAUUUGGUGUUGCGGGGAAACAGGACUGUUACUUUGAAAAAAUUAGAGUGUUUAAAGCAAGCUAACGCUUGAAUACAUUAGCAUGGGAUAAUGAAAUAGGACGAUCGAUCCUAUUUUGUUGGUUUCUAGGAUUGACGUA